rnacentral:misc_RNA from 1 species
GCAAACUUGGUCAUUUAGAGGAAGUAAAAGUCGUAACAAGGUCUCCGUUGGUGAACCAGCGGAGGGAUCAUUACAGAGUUAUUACAACUCCCCAACCCCUGUGAACAUACCUCUUGUUGCCUCGGCGGACCGCCCCGGCGCCCUCGCGGCCCGGACCCAGGCGCCCGCCGGAGGACCUACAAACUCUUGUAUUAUUUGAAUCUUCUGAGUCUUAUAAACAAAUAAAUCAAAACUUUCAACAACGGAUCUCUUGGUUCUGGCAUCGAUGAAGAACGCAGC